GAAAUGCGAUACGUAGUGUGAAUUGCAGAAUUCCGCGAAUCAUCGAGUCUUUGAACGCAACUUGCGCCCGAGGCUCGUCCGAGGGCAUUCCCGUCAGAGCGUCACCGCGCCACCCACCGCUCCGCUCCCGGAGACGACGUGGAACUGGCCGUCCCCGUCCAUUCGUUCGGGGUCGGCUGAAAUGGAUGGAACCUUGGGCCCCGCGGCGACACAGCCCGCGAUCAGGUGACCCGCGGCCCCCCCUCAACCCGGGAGUCGCGGUUUCUCGAACGCGCGGGCUGCACGAAGCCCUGUCGGCCUUGUCCGCACGAAGCAGGUCUUGUUUCCCUUCCCCCCCUAAACCGGGAGGAAAAGGAAUACACAGUAGUAACGCAACGGACCUCUGAUCGGGAAAGAUCAC
rnacentral:misc_RNA from 1 species